CUUUUUUUAAGGCAUUCCCAGAUGCGUAUUUGUAUUCCCAGUCAUGUGAAAUCCAUAGAUUAGGGCCGAGUUAAUUGAUUUCAAUUGACUGAUUUCCUCAUAUGAACUGUAACUCAGUAAAAUAAUUUAAAUUGUUGCAUGUUGCAUUUAUAUUUUUGUUCAGUAUAAUUAUAGUCCUAUAUUAUUCGAGCAUGUCAUUACAAUGAUGAUGAUAACAAAACGUAUUUAAUUUAACUGUUGAAAGCGAGGAAGUAAUGAAGUAACAGAAAGAGGAGGGAGGCUAAUACGAACAUUGUACAACAUUAGCGGAAAUACUAUGAAAGGUGGGCCUAUAUAUAUAUAUAUAUUCGUCAACCUACUAUUUCUAAAGAUGCCAAAUAGGCCCUAGUAUAUUUCUAAAUUAAAAUUAAAUUCACUAGCCUAUACUUGUAACUUUUUAGGCUGCAUGUCCUGCAACAGCAAUCGUAUGUUCUCUCCCAACUUCAUGGUUUGAACGAGGUGCGUAAUUUCAGUUGUAUAACACAGUAUAAUAUAAUACAGUACAGUAUUACAGUUCACACUCCAAAAAGAGUAACCUACUAGAGACUGGUUUCAUUUAUUUACCCAAGAGAGCAUAUAGCUAGCUACAUCUAUGGGCUUUUAGAUUUUUCUGUUGUGCGUAAUGUUCAGUAUUCUAUAUCAUGUGCUUGUAUUCGAUAACGGCACAAUCAUUUGGCCGUUUUGGGGCUUGGGCUCAUAAUAUGCAUUUAAUUGUAGGAUGGAGUAUGAAUUUUCAUGCUGAACAAAGCUCUAAUCAAAUCCAGACAUAUUAAUAUGCUUUAUAUUCUUUAGAAUCCGUCCAACUCAUUCCAAGGAGGGCCGAGUGUCUGCAGGUUUUCCCUCCUUCCUUGUACUUGAUUGAUGAAUUAAGGUCACUAAUUAGUAAAGAACACCCCUCACCUGGUUGUCUGUGUCUUAAUUGAAAUGAAAAAACAAAAAAAUAACACUCAACUAGGCCCUCCAUGGAAUGAGUU
rnacentral:lncRNA from 1 species